rnacentral:rRNA from 1 species
CGCUGAAGCCUGGUGCUUGCACCGGGUGGAUGAGUGGCGAACGGGUGAGUAACACGUGAGUAACCUGCCCCUGACUUCGGGAUAAGCCCGGGAAACUGGGUCUAAUACCGGAUACGACUGCCGGACGCAUGUCUGGUGGUGGAAAGUUUUUUCGGUUGGGGAUGGGCUCGCGGCCUAUCAGUUUGUUGGUGAGGUAAUGGCUCACCAAGACGACGACGGGUAGCCGGCCUGAGAGGGCGACCGGCCACACUGGGACUGAGACACGGCCCAGACUCCUACGGGAGGCAGCAGUGGGGAAUAUUGCACAAUGGGGGAAACCCUGAUGCAGCGACGCAGCGUGCGGGAUGACGGCCUUCGGGUUGUAAACCGCUUUCAGCAGGGAAGAAGCGCAAGUGACGGUACCUGCAGAAGAAGUACCGGCUAACUACGUGCCAGCAGCCGCGGUAAUACGUAGGGUACGAGCGUUGUCCGGAAUUAUUGGGCGUAAAGAGCUCGUAGGUGGUUGGUCACGUCUGCUGUGGAAACGCAACGCUUAACGUUGCGCGUGCAGUGGGUACGGGCUGACUAGAGUGCAGUAGGGGAGUCUGGAAUUCCUGGUGUAGCGGUGAAAUGCGCAGAUAUCAGGAGGAACACCGGUGGCGAAGGCGGGACUCUGGGCUGUAACUGACACUGAGGAGCGAAAGCAUGGGGAGCGAACAGGAUUAGAUACCCUGGUAGUCCAUGCCGUAAACGUUGGGCACUAGGUGUGGGGGGCAUUCCACGUUCUCCGCGCCGUAGCUAACGCAUUAAGUGCCCCGCCUGGGGAGUACGGUCGCAAGGCUAAAACUCAAAGGAAUUGACGGGGGCCCGCACAAGCGGCGGAGCAUGCGGAUUAAUUCGAUGCAACGCGAAGAACCUUACCAAGGCUUGACAUACACCGGACCGUCCUGGAAACAGGUCCUCUUCUUUGAAGCUGGUGUACAGGUGGUGCAUGGUUGUCGUCAGCUCGUGUCGUGAGAUGUUGGGUUAAGUCCCGCAACGAGCGCAACCCUCGUUCUAUGUUGCCAGCAUGUGAUGGUGGGAACUCAUAGGAGACUGCCGGGGUCACUCCGAGGAAAGUUGGGGAUGACGUCAAAUCAUCAUGCCCUU